ACCGGCCGCCACCAUCUUCUCCUAGCCCGGCGCCACCAUAACCCGACCCACCUCGCUCUCAACCGCUUCUCCCGCUGCCAUCCCCAAACGCUGCAGGCUACCAAGCCUCUAAUCUGCUCAGCCGCAGGGCCUAGGAGUUCCAAUUUCUUCCCCAAAUCACAGCUCCUCUGAUUUCCCUCUUCCUCCCUCACCCCCAGCUCGCAGCUCCCUUCGAUUUCCCUCUUCCUCCCCUCACCGUCAGCUCAACAGAUGGAUCCCUCCACUGCAGAUCCGUGCUCCAUCUCCAUCCCCCCUCUGGAUACGAACAGCUGCAGGAUUUGGUGAAACAUUGCUCCGUUCCCCCUCCUGGAUCCAAAUAAGGCCGUGUCAGGGUUUUCCCAAGUUCGAUUACACUUGAAGUUAACUCUGAAGUCACCAAAUCUGCAGCUGCACAUAAACUUGUUGCGAUAAUCUAGCUAAGGAGAAGGUGAAGCAGAGGCCUGUCUCCGAUGUUGAAGCAUAUACAUCAGGGAGGAUGGGAAAUCAAGAGGGAACCUACUGCAAUCCUAGAGCAGCUAUGAAUAUCAUAAGAUUUAAUAUAUCUCUCUUUUAUGUCAUGCUUUUGAAUAUUUGCUACCCAGAUGCAUAUAUUGUCAUUGGGUUGUUCUGAUUGUCAUUCCCAACAGGAAGCAUAUAUUGAGGCUGCUAAGGAGCUUCAUGGUCCAGAAUUCGACGCAAUGCAUGCUCCACUUGACCAAGUUGCUGUGUACAGGGCUGGGCGUGGAAAAAAACAUGGGCAGUACUUGAUUGCUGAUGGUUGCUUUAAUACUCCCUUGACUCUCUCAGAUGUCCAAGCAUCAGGUUGUCGGUCACAAAAUGAAAUACGCUCUCAGAGAUGUCAACAAACAUACCCUCGUUAUGGAUCAUCGCAGCAAGAAGUGAGGCAAGGAAGAUUCUAGAGGAGAAGGUGGAUAGCCAAACCGAGAUAAUAAACUGUUUGAAAGAAGGUUAUGCUGGUUUGGCCUUGAUUAUCCAAACACAUCUCAAUAUACCAAUCCCUCCACUGGUACUGCCAUCACAAACUGGAUCAACUCACCUGGUUAGUGCAGUUUGAAUCAUUCUAUUGUCAUUUCAAACUCCAACAAUCUCGCUUGCUGAAAAUGAAGGGCACAUCUGGAGGAUCCAACUUGGGUCCUGCAAACAGUGGUGCUGCUAGAGAGGUUGGAGAAGUGGAAGUGGCUGCAGAUGAAGCUCAUAUUGAUGAGUCCUCGCCAAAUCAGGCCAACUCAAUAUGAUCUUACACUUCUCUGCUAACUUAUUGCCUUUUGUCGAAGUUGUGGUGACUCUUAUAUUGAUCUGAUGAUGCUGUGCUCUUUUGUGAACCUUUAGAAACUUGCGACCCUUGUUGAUUUCAGCAUGUCGUGACCUUGUAUGUAAUCUAAAUAUGUAGGACUUGUUGGCAUAGAGGGUAUAUAUGGCUAUUUUGUGACUUCUAAACUGUUAGAACAUGUAAGCAUGGAAGCUAUGAAUCUUUGAUUUCAAGGCAUGUGCCUGGUGGAAAUGAUGUAUAAAUUAGUUAACUAUGUGUUA